CAAUAGCGUAUAUUAAAGCUGUUGCGGUUAAAAAGCUCGUAGUUGGAUUUCUGUCAAGGACAACUGGUCCGCCCUCCGGGUGAGCACAUAGUUUGGUCUUGGCAUCUUGCUGGAAACUGUUGCUGCGCUUGGUUGUGUGGUGCAGCUUUCAGCACUUUCACUUUGAGGAAAUUGGAGUGUUUCAAGCAGGCACAUGCCUUUGGACACAGUAGCAUGGAAUAAUUAGAUUGGGCUUUUGCUCCAACUUGUUGGUUCCUGGAGCUGAGGUGAGAAUCAAUGGGGAUUGUUGGGGGCAUCCGAAUUUAGCCGUCAGAGGUGAAAUUCUUGGAUCUGCUAAAGACGGACAACUGCGAAAGCGGUUGCCCAGGAUGUUUUCAUUGA
rnacentral:rRNA from 1 species